UACGUAGGGGGCUAGCGUUGUCCGGAUUUAUUGGGCGUAAAGAGCGUGUAGGCGGCCAGGUAGGUCUGCUGUGAAAACUCGAGGCUUAACCUCGAGCUGUCGGCGGAAACCAUCUGGCUAGAGUCCGGAAGAGGAGAAUGGAAUUCCCGGUGUAGCGGUGAAAUGCGUAGAUAUCUGGAGGAAUACCGGUGGCGAAGGCGGCAUCCUGGACCAUUACUGACGCUGAGGCGCGAAAGCUAGGGGAGCAAACGGG
rnacentral:rRNA from 1 species